GAUGAACGCUGGCGGCGUGCCUAAUACAUGCAAGUCGAGCGAACAGAUGAGGAGCUUGCUCCUCUGACGUUAGCGGCGGACGGGUGAGUAACACGUGGAUAACCUACCUAUAAGACUGGGAUAACUUCGGGAAACCGGAGCUAAUACCGGAUAAUAUAUUGAACCGCAUGGUUCAAUAGUGAAAGACGGUUUUGCUGUCACUUAUAGAUGGAUCCGCGCCGCAUUAGCUAGUUGGUAAGGUAACGGCUUACCAAGGCAACGAUGCGUAGCCGACCUGAGAGGGUGAUCGGCCACACUGGAACUGAGACACGGUCCAGACUCCUACGGGAGGCAGCAGUAGGGAAUCUUCCGCAAUGGGCGAAAGCUUGACGGAGCAACGCCGCGUGAGUGAUGAAGGUCUUCGGAUCGUAAAACGCUGUUAUUAGGGAAGAACAAAUGUGUAAGUAACUAGGCACGUCUUGACGGUACCUAAUCAGAAAGGCACGGCUAACUACGUG
rnacentral:rRNA from 1 species